UACAUACUCCCUUCGUUCAGAAUUACUUGUCGUAAAAAUGGAUGUAUCUACAACUAAAAUACAUCUAGAUAUAUUCAUUUUUUGGACAAGUAAUUUCGAACGGAGGGAGUACAUA
rfam:Triticum aestivum genome assembly, contig: Triticum_aestivum_CS42_TGACv1_scaffold_031369_1BL